CGCUGCGGCGUGCUAUACAUGCAAGUCGAGCGGACAAAUCGGAGCUUGCUCUGAUUUGGUCAGCGGCGGACGGGUGAGUAACACGUGGGCAACCUGCCCGCAAGACCGGGAUAACUCCGGGAAACCGGAGCUAAUACCGGAUAACACCGAAGACCGCAUGGUCUUUGGUUGAAAGGCGGCCUUUGGCUGUCACUUGCGGAUGGGCCCGCGGCGCAUUAGCUAGUUGGUGAGGUAACGGCUCACCAAGGCGACGAUGCGUAGCCGGCCUGAGAGGGUGACCGGCCACACUGGGACUGAGACACGGCCCAGACUCCUACGGGAGGCAGCAGUAGGGAAUCUUCCGCAAUGGGCGAAAGCCUGACGGAGCGACGCCGCGUGAGCGAAGAAGGCCUUCGGGUCGUAAAGCUCUGUUGUGAGGGACGAAGGAGCGCCGUUCGAAGAGGGCGGCGCGGUGACGGUACCUCACGAGGAAGCCCCGGCUAACUACGUGCCAGCAGCCGCGGUAAUACGUAGGGGGCGAGCGUUGUCCGGAAUUAUUGGGCGUAAAGCGCGCGCAGGCGGUUCCUUAAGUCUGAUGUGAAAGCCCACGGCUCAACCGUGGAGGGUCAUUGGAAACUGGGGGACUUGAGUGCAGGAGAGGAGAGCGGAAUUCCACGUGUAGCGGUGAAAUGCGUAGAGAUGUGGAGGAACACCAGUGGCGAAGGCGGCUCUCUGGCCUGCAACUGACGCUGAGGCGCGAAAGCGUGGGGAGCAAACAGGAUUAGAUACCCUG
rnacentral:rRNA from 1 species